GAGUGGCGAACUGGUGAGUAACACGUGGGAAACCUGCCCAGAAGCGGGGGAUAACACCUGGAAACAGAUGCUAAUACCGCAUAACAACUUGGACCGCAUGGUCCGAGCUUGAAAGAUGGCUUCGGCUAUCACUUUUGGAUGGUCCCGCGGCGUAUUAGCUAGAUGGUGGGGUAACGGCUCACCAUGGCAAUGAUACGUAGCCGACCUGAGAGGGUAAUCGGCCACAUUGGGACUGAGACACGGCCCAAACUCCUACGGGAGGCAGCAGUAGGGAAUCUUCCACAAUGGACGAAAGUCUGAUGGAGCAACGCCGCGUGAGUGAAGAAGGGUUUCGGCUCGUAAAACUCUGUUGUUAAAGAAGAACAUAUCUGAGAGUAACUGUUCAGGUAUUGACGGUAUUUAACCAGAAAGCCACGGCUAACUACGUGCCAGCAGCCGCGGUAAUACGUAGGUGGCAAGCGUUGUCCGGAUUUAUUGGGCGUAAAGCGAGCGCAGGCGGUUUUUUAAGUCUGAUGUGAAAGCCUUUCGGCUCAACCGAAGAAGUGCAUCGGAAACUGGGAAACUUGAGUGCAGAAGAGGACAGUGGAACUCCAUGUGUAGCGGUGAAAUGCGUAGAUAUAUGGAAGAACACCAGUGGCGAAGGCGGCUGUCUGGUCUGUAACUGACGCUGAGGCUCGAAAGUAUGGGUAGCAAACAGGAUUAGAUACCCUGGUAGUCCAUACCGUAAACGAUGAAUGCUAAGUGUUGGAGGGUUUCCGCCCUUCAGUGCUGCAGCUAACGCAUUAAGCAUUCCGCCUGGGGAGUACGGCCGCAAGGCUGAAACUCAAAGGAAUUGACGGGGGCCCGCACAAGCGGUGGAGCAUGUGGUUUAAUUCGAAGCUACGCGAAGAACCUUACCAGGUCUUGACAUACUAUGCAAAUCUAAGAGAUUAGACGUUCCCUUCGGGGACAUGGAUACAGGUGGUGCAUGGUUGUCGUCAGCUCGUGUCGUGAGAUGUUGGGUUAAGUCCCGCAACGAGCGCAACCCUUAUUAUCAGUUGCCAGCAUUAAGUUGGGCACUCUGGUGAGACUGCCGGUGACAAACCGGAGGAAGGUGGGGAUGACGUCAAAUCAUCAUGCCCCUUAUGACCUGGGCUACACACGUGCUACAAUGGAUGGUACAACGAGUUGCGAACUCGCGAGAGUAAGCUAAUCUCUUAAAGCCAUUCUCAGUUCGGAUUGUAGGCUGCAACUCGCCUACAUGAAGUCGGAAUCGCUAGUAAUCGCGGAUCAGCAUGCCGCGGUGAAUACGUUCCCGGGCCUUGUACACACCGCCCGUCACACCAUGAGAGUUUGUAACAC
rnacentral:rRNA from 1 species